UCCGUAGGUGGAUAAUUAAGUCAGAGGUGAAAUCCUGCAGCUCAACUGUAGAAUUGCCUUUGAUACUGGUUAUCUUGAGUCAUUAUGAAGUGGUUAGAAUGUGUAGUGUAGCGGUGAAAUGCAUAGAUAUUACUCAGAAUACCGAUUGCGAAGGCAGAUCACUAAUAAUGUACUGACACUGAGGGACGAAAGCGUGGGGAGCGAACAGGAUUAGAUACCCUGGUAGUCC
rnacentral:rRNA from 1 species